GAUGAACGCUGGCGGCGUGCCUAAUACAUGCAAGUCGAGCGAACAGAUGAGGAGCUUGCUCCUCUGACGUUAGCGUCGGACGGGUGAGUAACACGUGGAUAACCUACCUAUAAGACUGGGAUAACUUCUGGAAACCGGAGCUAAUACCGGAUAAUAUAUUGAACCGCAUGGUUCAAUAGUGAAAGACGGUUUUGCUGUCACUUAUAGAUGGAUCCGCGCCGCAUUAGCUAGUUGGUAAGGUAACGGCUUACCAAGGCAACGAUGCGUAGCCGACCUGAGAGGGUGAUCGGCGACACUGGAACUGAGACACGGUCCAGACUCCUACGGGAGGCAGAAGUAGGGAAUCGUCAGCAAGGGGCGAAAGCCUGACGGAGAAACGCCGCGUGAGUGAUGAAGGUCUUCGGAUCGUAAAACUCUGUUAUUAGGGAAGAACAAAUGGGUAAGUAACUAUGCACGUCUUGACGGUACCUAAUCAGAAAGCCACGGCUAACUACGUG
rnacentral:rRNA from 1 species